AACGAACGCUGGCGGCAGGCCUAACACAUGCAAGUCGAGCGGACCCUUCGGGGUUAGCGGCGGACGGGUGAGUAACGCGUGGGAAUAUGCCCUUCUCUACGGAAUAGUCCUGGGAAACUGGGGGUAAUACCGGAUACGCCCUUUGGGGGAAAGAUUUAUCGGGGAAGGAUUAGCCCGCGUUGGAUUAGGUAGUUGGGGGGGUAAUGGCCUACCAAGCCGACGAUCCAUAGCUGGUUUGAGAGGAUGAUCAGCCACACUGGGACUGAGACACGGCCCAGACUCCUACGGGAGGCAGCAGUGGGGAAUCUUAGACAAUGGGGGCAACCCUGAUCGAGCCAUGCCGCGUGAGUGAUGAAGGCCUUAGGGUUGUAAAGCUCUUUCAGCUGGGAAGAUACUGACGGUACCAGCAGAAGAAGCCCCGGCUAACUCCGUG
rnacentral:rRNA from 1 species